CUGCUGCCUCCCGUAGGAGUUUGGACCGUGUCUCAAUUCCAAUGUGGGGGACCUUCCUCUCAGAACCCCUAUCCAUCGUCGUCUUGGUGGGCCGUUACCCCGCCAACUAACUAAUGGAACGCAUCCCCAUCGAUAACCGAAAUUCUUUAAUAUCAAGAUCAUGCGAUCUUGAUAUCCUAUCGGAUAUUAAUCUUUCUUUCGAAAGGCUAUCCCCGAGUUAUCGGCAGGUUGGAUACGUGUUACUCACCCGUGCGCCGGUCGCCA
rnacentral:rRNA from 1 species